UACGAAGGGGGCUAGCGUUGUUCGGAAUUACUGGGCGUAAAGCGCACGUAGGCGGAUCGAUCAGUCAGGGGUGAAAUCCCAGAGCUCAACUCUGGAACUGCCUUUGAUACUGUCGAUCUAGAGUAUGGAAGAGGUGAGUGGAAUUCCGAGUGUAGAGGUGAAAUUCGUAGAUAUUCGCAAGAACACCAGUGGCGAAGGCGGCUCACUGGCUCGGUACUGACGCUGAGGUGCGAAAGCGUGGGGAGCGAACAGG
rnacentral:rRNA from 1 species